AUCAUUUUCUUCACACCAUUGAUCAUUUGACAGACUCACGACUUAUCUAUCAGUUUCUUGAUGUGGCUGUCUUACAGAAUGUGACACCGAAUGGGGGUCUGGUCCUCAAACCCCUGCUUUCUGUAUGUGACUGCUGGAUAUAGUUAGUGUAUGAUGAUCUUUAAUAAAUGAUAAUAAAAAUUGCAGUGUCUUUUAGACAAGUAUGUUCCUCAGAAUGUGGCUUUUUGUACAAUGAGAGGUUCCUUUUUUAUUAAUGUUUUUAGUCGGUGUACAAAGUAAUUGGUUUAUUAUCAUAUUUUUUAUUCCAUAUCAAAAUACUGACUUUACUCAUAUUUGCCCCUCCCUCCAUGCCACUGGGUUCCUUCCUUCUUCCAAAUGGCUUCGCUUCUGCUGUCUUGUCAUAUAUGUGCACACGUGUUACAUCUAGAUUGUGUGAGGAGAGGAGAUAUGAUUAUCUCCCUAAUGGCCUUGCUAUCCCCUCUGCCUUUGCAAUCCUUCAUCUCCCCAUAGUUGGUGUCCUCUUAUUUCAAACACAUACAUAUGUCUAGAUUUUGUGUAGGAGAGAAAUUAUGGUGGUUUGUUUUGUUUUUAGAAUCUGGGGCUAUUUCACUUAGCAUGGUGGUAUUCUAUUCCAUCUGUUUACCUGGUAAUGACAUAAUUCUGGUGUGUGUGUGUGUGUGUGUGUGUGCGCGCUUGAGAGAGAGACAGACAGACAGAGAGAGGUGGGGGAGAAAGAGCGAUACAUAUUUGUUUAUAUGUAUGGAGGCAAAGGUUGGCAGUGGGUGUCUUCCUUUCUUGCUUUCCACCUUGUUUGUGUGUGUGUUUGUGUGUUUGUUUUUUAAUUUUGGGGAUAAGAUUUCUUACUGCCCCGGAGCUCACUCAUACCUCUGGUCAGAGAGCUUAUGGGGAUUCUCCUGUCUCUGCCUCCCCAUCACUUGGAUUAUAGUCACAGCUCUUACGGGGCUGGGUUCUAAAGGUGUUCAUGCUUGCAUGGCAAACAUUUUAUCUUCUCAGCCACCUCAGUCCAAUUAGGUUGUCCUUUAUAGCCGAAUAAAAUGCCUUCCUCGUGUAUGUAAAUGCAAUCACGAGCUUCUUACCUGACCAUCUGCUGGUGGAGACCUAGGCUGGUGUCUUACCUUGGUUUUUGUGAAUGUCAGAGCAUGCCUUUAAGUCAUUGUGUGACAGGCCCCAGCUGAGACUGAAGUGCAGUGAGGUGCCUUUCAGGAUGUGGUUGAAGAUGCUUUAAUGUCCUGAGCGCUUUCAAAGGGUGCAAGAUCAGAAUGUUUAUAUUAAUUCUGAAACGUGGUUUACCUUUUUUUUUAGUGUUAUGGUCUCAUGCGUGUAAAAUACAUUUUCUAAAGCUACAUGAUGGAGUUUUUCAGCAGAUGAAUGCAGAAUUACAAGAGAAAAGCUAAUUAGAUGUGAAAAGUUAGAGUGCUUUCUGUUUUACAUUCUUGCAAGAUGAAAUACUGAUAGAUGUAACCUGCAAAACAAAUGCUCUUUGAAGUCCCCAGUAACUAGAAAAGGGGAAAGAAGAACACCAGAAAGCUGUAAGAAGUGCAAGUGCAGAGCACAGGCUGGGGCUGCAGUGUGCCGUGCUUGCCUUCCCAGUGAGCAGCCCUCCUCCGUGUUCAGGCCCCAGCUCUUGAGGUGGGGGUGGGGUGGCAGGGGUGGCUGGGUUUCUGACUCAAAGCUAGCUGCAAUGGGCAUUUCUUGGCUUCUGUUCCUGUUACCUCAUUCAUAAACUAGUAACGCAACGUUGCCUGUCCCAGGGACUGUUUAGUAUAUGUAAAGUGCUGCUUCUCACAGUUCCUAACACACAGAAAAUGCCAUGUGUGGGGGAUUUUAAAUUUUAUUUAAUGCGUGUAAGAUUUAAUUCUUGGGCUGGAGAGAUGACUCAGUGGUCAAAGGCACUGGCUGAGCAAGUUUGGAAACCUGAGGUGGAUGCAUAGCACCCACAUGAUGGUAGGAGGAGAGGGCUGACUCCACAAGCUCUCCCCUGACCUCUGCAUGCAUGCAGUGGUGUAUAUGUGUGUAUAUAUGCCUGCACAUAUCGUGCAUAUAUACAUAUACAACUAUAAUAAUUUGAAAAGGUUUCUUCCUGGGUUUUCUGAUAACUCACUACAGCUCCCUUGGUAUUUGGCAACUCAUACAUUUUUUAAAUGUUAUUUUCUUUAGUCUUAAAAUACUUUUAAGAAAUUGUUUUAAGGAAACUAAAAGAUAGGAAAAUACUUGUUUUUUAACAAGUAUAUUCAAAGUAUAGAAAAAUGUUUUCCAUGUUUUUGUCUAAAAUAAUAAGAGGCUGGAGAUGUAGUUCAGAGUGCUUGCUUAUCAUGGAAGAAACCCGGCCUCAGUCCCCAGCAUUGGGGGAGAGGGCUCUGUGCCUCUCAUUCAGUCACUGGAAGAGGCAGCUGGAAGGGUUACAAGUUCAGGGUUAUCUUCUGCAGCAGCAUAGUGAGAGAGAGGUCAGCCUGAGCUAUGUGAGACUGUGACUUGGAAGGAGGGAGGGAAGGAAGGAGUGGGCUGGUGGACUUGCUGGCUGGGAGGCUGUCCAUCAAAAACUAGCAGAUAUUUCAGAAAGUUGGACUUGAUUAGAGAUUUUCUUUUUUGGGCCUUUGUGUUUUCCUAUAUCUUUCUGAUUUUCUAUGGUGAACAUUUCUGUUCAUAUAAAUCCCAUAUAAACUUUCACACCUAUGUGCACGUGUAGUUGGCUAAACGAGGAGGAAGUGGCUAGAAAGCAUGAUGUCUCAGGGUAGCCUGAGCUGUGGGUUCAGUGAAGUCAAGCACUGCGCUGAGCAAACAUUCCGUGGCACAGGGCAUGCCAUCUCAUACACCGUGUUCCCACUGACUUGUUUGUAGAAAUCCCUUUUACAUUUUGCCUUUGUUUCUAUUUUCUAAGAUUUAUGGAAAUUUAUCUCUGCAGUGUUUGUGUUAACCGUGUUCUUGGCAGAGUUGUGGAUCUUUCCUCUGCACACUGACCUACACUCACUUGACUAAACCGUUGAGAAGGUUUUUUAAGCUGAACACACACCAAGUUAGAUUUAAAUGUUUUGAUGGGUGAUCAUAAUGCAGCUUCUUUUAAACAUAAAAUGAUGACAUUAGUAUAACAUGCUUUAAUUAUUAAAAGUUAAUUUCCAAAAUAAGUGUUGUUCUUUGAAAAUCUUCUCCUCCCCUUACCCCCCACCCCAUCGUGGGUGCACAGUGAGGCAAGGUCUCUCAGGUAGCCUCAGAUGACCUUGAAUUUUGAUCCCCCUGCUGCUUCUACCCUCUGAGUGCUGGGAUUGUAGAUGUGUGCCACCAAGCCCAGGUAUGCACUUCUGGGGAUCAAACACUAACUGCAUCCCCUACCGAGGAGUUUGAAAAUCUUAAUCCUGUGUUCUUUGCCAGAAAGCUGUUCUCAGAUUGUUUGCCUGUGCUUUGUACAGAAUAAUGGAGACUAAAACAAAGAAUUGAAAUGUUAAUGUUAAGUAAGUUAAUUUACUUCCUUCUUUCUUUUUUUGGGGGGGGGGUAGGGGGUGAGACACGGGGAGUGGGUCGACACUCAUGAUCUCAUGUAGCCCAGGCUGGCCUUGAACUCACUGUGAUAGAGGUGGAUGAUCUUGGACUUCUGGUCUUCCUACUUCAGCCUUUUGAAUGCUAGAAUUACAGUCACUUGUCACACAUUCAGUUAUAAAGAAUUCUCAAAACUCUGUAAAGAAUGGAUAGAACAUCUGAAUAGGACACUUUGUUAUAUGUGAUGCUGGGCAGGGAUGGGCAGAGGCAGCAGAUCUCUGUGUCUCCAUAUUCGUGGUGAGACUGUC
rnacentral:lncRNA from 1 species